AUAGUAAAGUUUAGUGGGAAAAAAUGGGUUCUAAGACAUUUAUGUUCCUUGGCCUUUUUUUGGCUAUUUAUGUAAUGAUAAGCUCUGAGGUUGUAGCUAAAGAGUUGAGUGAGACUUCAGAAGAUAAGCCAAAGAAAUCCAAUAACAAGAAUGUAGUACAUGAAGACCAAUUUGGUGGCUACCCUGGUGGCGGAUACCCCGGCGGUGGUGGCGGAUAUCCUGGCGGUGGUGGUGGAUACCCCGGUGGUGGUGGCUACCCUGGUGGGGGCGGAGGCUACCCCGGAGGUGGAUACCCUGGCGGUGGCCGCGGUGGUGGUGGUGGCUACCCUGGCGGCGGUCGUGGUAGAGGCAGAUAUCCCGGUGGUGGCCGCGGUGGUCGCGGACGUGGUGGAUAUCCUGGCGGCGGACGAGGUGGUGGUGGAUACCCUGGCGGUGGACGUGGCGGCGGUGGAUACCCUGGCGGUGGACGUGGCGGCGGUGGAUACCCUGGCGGUGGACGUGGCGGC
rnacentral:misc_RNA from 1 species